rnacentral:rRNA from 1 species
GACGAACGCUGGCGGCGUGCUUAACACAUGCAAGUCGAACGAGGCCCUACCUUCGGGUAGGUGACCUAGUGGCGAACGGGUGAGUAACACGUGGGCAACCUACCCUCAGCUCUGGGAUAACCCCGGGAACCGGAGCUAAUACCGGAUAUGACCAGGAACGACAUCGCUCCUGGUGGAAAGUUUUUCGGUCUGAGGAUGGGCCCGCGGCCUAUCAGCUUGUUGGUGGGGUAACGGCCCACCAAGGCGACGACGGGUAGCCGGCCUGAGAGGGCGAACGGCCACACUGGGACUGAGACACGGCCCAGACUCCUACGGGAGGCAGCAGUGGGGAAUAUUGCGCAAUGGGCGAAAGCCUGACGCAGCGACGCCGCGUGAGGGAUG